UGGGGAAUUUUGCGCAAUGGGGGAAACCCUGACGCAGCAACGCCGCGUGGAGGAUGAAGUCCCUUGGGACGUAAACUCCUUUCGACCGAGACGGGCUCCUGGACGAACAAUCCGGGAGAGUGACGGUACCGAGAGAAGAAGCCCCGGCUAACUCC
rnacentral:rRNA from 1 species